CACUUAUCUAUUUUUGAUUGUUGCUCAGAAAGCCCUUAUAAUUAACCAGUUGGCUUUCGAGCAAUUAUCAAAGCCAAAUAAGUG
rnacentral:pre_miRNA from 15 species